rnacentral:tRNA from 1 species
GGUUCCGUGGUGUAGGGGUUAACAUGCCUGCCUGUCACGCAGGAGAUGCCUGUCACGCAGGAGAUCGCGGGUUCAAAUCCCGUCGGGACCGCCA